GUUUUCUCACAUUGACGAUAAAAAAAAUCAGAAACGCCACAGACGUUCGUUUCCUUAAAUCGGAUCUCUAAAUUUGUCAAUUUAGGUGAAGUCGCAACUGGUGAGAUAUAUCAUAUGGUUGGUGAUGAUGUGUAUAUUGAUUUUGGAUCGAAAUUUCAAAGCAUUAGAAACUUGUCAAGAAUGGACAAUAUACUAUGUGAGAGGAUCUAAGGUUCGAUUAAGAAUAAAGGUUUCUCAGAACUUUCCUCCAAGUUCUUAGAUGCUGAAACGGAUGUAACUCUUCUGGAAGCUGAUUACACUUUAACUUUUGCUGUCCAUUCUCGACAGAUCUCUAAUAAACGCAAUGAAACUUCCAUCCAAAAUCAAUAUAUAGAUUAGGUAUAGAUCGUCACCAACCAUGUGAUAUAUCUCACAGUUGAGACUUUUCCUUUAGGAUCACCCAACUCAAAGCAAAAUUAUUAUAGUAUUUAAUAAAGAGCAGUCAAACAAUUGUACGCACUAUGAAAAGGAAAGACUUACAUUGACAAAUUUGGAGUUGCGAAUUAAGGGAACGAACAUAUCUAUCAUCUGAUUUUUUAUCGUCAAUGUGAGAAAACUUUUUGUAACUUCGUGCAAAGUCACUCAAUUUCACUUGAAAUUCCUGAAUUGCUUCUGCAUUCUCUUUUACUUGUAUUGCAAGUUCCUUCUUGAUAAUGGGGUUCACAGACGAAAGCGAAUCUUUGCUUUGUUCCUCUGAACAAACUUUACUUGUGCUGAAACAUCUCGUGGACGAGGAACUCGCUUUCAAAACGCCGAGAGAUUGUAAAUGUUCUCUCGAGACGACGUAUCUUGUUCAUGAUGACAACAAAAAAUCCCAUUUUCCGUAUCGUCAUACUUGCUCACUCGACAAUAACUUUAGGUUAGGUUUAAUAUCCUAAAGCUGAGGUUAUGUAAAAAUUGUUGUGCUUUCUGUUAUCUCGAAGAAGUUAUCGCGAUUAAAAAUUCCAAAUUGAUUUUAGAAUUAGUAUUACCAAAGAGAAAAUUUGUAUUCUACGGUAAAUAUAAAAAAUAUCUGAGAAAAAAGAAUUCGUUUAAUUUAUUGUUUCUAAUGUCGUUUGUCUUCUUUCUGCUAAGAGGAAAUUUAUGCUAUGAAUGUAUUGUAAUAUUAAAUUAUGCAAUUUUUUAUAUUAUGACGUAAAGGAGAUUAAAACGAUGAUGUUAUCGCCUUUUGCGGUGUCAAGUGUUGCAAACAGAAACAUCUCUACUUUAAUCCCUGUGAGUCAGAUAAUUAAAUUGAGUUGAUUGAGAGUAGUGGAUAAGCAAGCUAUGAUGUAAGAUAAACCACAUGUUGCAUAUACAUGUACAAGCGCAGGGAAGAUACAUCAGUGAGAUAAUAAUUUAAAGACUACAUAAAAGAUAUUAUCAUUUUAUAGGAAAUUUAUCUAAACAUUGCUAUACAUAUUCAGGUGAUAGAAUUUUAGUUGCUAUAAGAGGUGAAAAGAAAAAGGGUAUAUUGAUUGGAAAUAGUCUUUAACAAGUCCUUAAAGUUGUCAAGUUUAAUAGCAACAAUCUAGUACUCAUAGACGACAACGGCACACAAGGUACAA
rnacentral:lncRNA from 1 species